AACGAACGCUGGCGGCAGGCUUAACACAUGCAAGUCGAACGCAUCGCAAGAUGAGUGGCAGACGGGUGAGUAACACGUGGGAACAUACCCUUUGGUGCGGAACAACAGCUGGAAACGGCUGCUAAUACCGCAUGCGCCCUACGGGGAAGAUUAUCGCCGAAGGAUUGGCCCGCGUCUGAUUAGCUAGUUGGUGAGGUAAUGGCUCACCAAGGCGACGAUCAGUAGCUGGUCUGAGAGGAUGAUCAGCCACACUGGGACUGAGACACGGCCCAGACUCCUACGGGAGGCAGCAGUGGGGAAUAUUGGACAAUGGGCGAAAGCCUGAUCCAGCAAUGCCGCGUGAGUGAUGAAGGCCUUAGGGUUGUAAAGCUCUUUUACCCGGGAUGAUAAUGACAGUACCGGGAGAAUAAGCUCCGGCUAACUUCGUG
rnacentral:rRNA from 1 species